UACGGAGGGAGCAAGCGUUACUCGGAAUUAUUGGGCGUAAAGGGCGCGUAGGCGAUUCGAUAAGUCUCAUGUGAAAUCCCAGGCCUAACCCUGGAAUGGCAUGGGAUACUGUUGGAUUUGAGUUCCGGAGAGGAAGGCAGAAUUCCCGGUGUAGCGGUGAAAUGCGUAGAUAUCGGGAGGAAUACCAGUGGCGAAGGCGGCCUUCUGGACGGAUACUGACGCUGAGGCGCGAAAGCCAGGGGAGCAACGGG
rnacentral:rRNA from 1 species